rnacentral:lncRNA from 1 species
AUUUUUAUAGUUCGUUCUUAUGUUGUACUGUUAUACCACUGUCCCAGGUUAGGGGGAGGGUUUGGAUCCCGCUAACAUGUUUAACCCCGCCACUUUAUUUAUGUAUGUGCCUGUCCCAAGUCAGGAGCCUGUAAUUCAGUGGUUGUCGUUUGUUUAUGUGUUACAUAUUUGUUUUUCGUUCAUUUUUUUAACAUAAAUAAGGCCGUUAGUUUUCUCGUUUGAAUUGUUUUUACAUUGUCUUAUCGGAGCCUUUUAUAGCUGACUAUGCGGAAUGGGCUUUGCUCAUUGUUGAAGGACGUACGGUGACCUAUAGUUGUUAAUGUCUGUGUCAUUUUGGUCUUUUGUGGAUAGUUGUCUCAUUGGAAAUCAUACCACAUCUUCUUUUUUAUAAA